GUUUAUGCUUAAAAAAGCAAGAAGAUUCCUGAUCUCAAGGCCAGACUGUGACAGAGCAUGUAUAGGUCCAGACUCAUAAGUGCUCUUACUUCUGGAAGAUGAAGAUAGAACGAAUUGGCCUGGCCCAUAGACCUUUGGAGAAUGAUAUUUGAGGAAUUAAAAAGCCACGAUCAAUGUUUGAACCACUAGACUCCAAAAGAUGGUGGAAGUCAAAGUAUUAAAUGAACAAAGCCAGCAAAGGAGGAAAAUUUAUUUCAUCCUGACAUGAGACCCAGAUUGUACCCAAGAACAAAGAAAACUGCCGAGUCUGAUUCAAGAAAUGCAACUCAGGGAAUAAUGGAAGAAACAAGAAAUAGU